CCGUAANCGAUGGGUACUAGGUGUAGGAGGUAUCGACCCCUUCUGUGCCGGAGUUAACGCAAUAAGUACCCCGCCUGGGGAGUACGACCGCAAGGUUGAAACUCAAAGGAAUUGACGGGGGCCCGCACAAGCGGUGGAGUAUGUGGUUUAAUUCGACGCAACGCGAAGAACCUUACCAGGUCUUGACANUGAUGGACAGAACCAGAGAUGGUUCCUCUUCUUCGGAAGCCAGAAAACAGGUGGUGCACGGUUGUCGUCAGCUCGUGUCGUGAGAUGUUGGGUUAAGUCCCGCAACGAGCGCAACCCCUAUCUUAUGUUGCCAGCACGUGAUGGUGGGAACUCAUGAGAGACUGCCGCAGACAAUGCGGAGGAAGGCGGGGAUGACGUCAAAUCAUCAUGCCCCUUAUGACCUGGGCUACACACGUACUACAAUGGGAGUUAAUAGACGGAAGCGAGAUCGCGAGAUGGAGCAAACCCGAGAAACACUCUCUCAGUUCGGAUCGUAGGCUGCAACUCGCCUACGUGAAGUCGGAANC
rnacentral:rRNA from 1 species